UACGUAGGGGCAAGCGUUGUCCGGAUUUAUUGGGCGUAAAGAGCGUGUAGGCGGCCAGACAGGUCCGUUGUGAAAACUCGAGGCUCAACCUCGAGACGCCGAUGGAAACCGUCUGGCUAGAGUCCGGAAGAGGAGAGUGGAAUUCCUGGUGUAGCGGUGAAAUGCGCAGAUAUCAAGGAAGAACACCCGUGGCUAAGGCGGCUCUCUAGUACGGUACUGACGCUGAGACGCGAAAGCGUGGGGAGCGAACAGG
rnacentral:rRNA from 1 species